AACGAACGCUGGCGGCAUGCCUAACACAUGCAAGUCGAACGAGACCUUCGGGUCUAGUGGCGCACGGGUGCGUAACGCGUGGGAAUCUGCCCUUGGGUCCGGAAUAACAGUUGGAAACGACUGCUAAUACCGGAUGAUGACGUAAGUCCAAAGAUUUAUCGCCCAGGGAUGAGCCCGCGUAGGAUUAGCUAGUUGGUGGGGUAAAGGCCUACCAAGGCGACGAUCCUUAGCUGGUCUGAGAGGAUGAUCAGCCACACUGGGACUGAGACACGGCCCAGACUCCUACGGGAGGCAGCAGUGGGGAAUAUUGGACAAUGGGCGAAAGCCUGAUCCAGCAAUGCCGCGUGAGUGAUGAAGGCCUUAGGGUUGUAAAGCUCUUUUACCCGGGAUGAUAAUGACAGUACCGGGAGAAUAAGCCCCGGCUAACUCCGUG
rnacentral:rRNA from 1 species